CUAUACUGCAGUCGAGCGAACAGAUAAGGAGCUUGCUCCUUUGAAGUUAGCGGCGGACGGGUGAGUAACACGUGGGUAACCUACCUAUAAGACUGGGAUAACUUCGGGAAACCGGAGCUAAUACCGGAUAACAUUUAGAACCGCAUGGUUCUAAAGUGAAAGAUGGUUUUGCUAUCACUUAUAGAUGGACCCGCGCCGUAUUAGCUAGUUGGUAAGGUAACGGCUUACCAAGGCGACGAUACGUAGCCGACCUGAGAGGGUGAUCGGCCACACUGGAACUGAGACACGGUCCAGACUCCUACGGGAGGCAGCAGUAGGGAAUCUUCCGCAAUGGGCGAAAGCCUGACGGAGCAACGCCGCGUGAGUGAUGAAGGGUUUCGGCUCGUAAAACUCUGUUAUUAGGGAAGAACAAAUGUGUAAGUAACUGUGCACAUCUUGACGGUACCUAAUCAGAAAGCCACGGCUAACUACGUGCCAGCAGCCGCGGUAAUACGUAGGUGGCAAGCGUUAUCCGGAAUUAUUGGGCGUAAAGCGCGCGUAGGCGGUUUCUUAAGUCUGAUGUGAAAGCCCACGGCUCAACCGUGGAGGGUCAUUGGAAACUGGGAAACUUGAGUGCAGAAGAGGAAAGUGGAAUUCCAUGUGUAGCGGUGAAAUGCGCAGAGAUAUGGAGGAACACCAGUGGCGAAGGCGACUUUCUGGUCUGUAACUGACGCUGAUGUGCGAAAGCGUGGGGAUCAAACAGGAUUAGAUACCCUGGUAGUCCACGCCGUAAACGAUGAGUGCUAAGUGUUAGGGGGUUUCCGCCCCUUAGUGCUGCAGCUAACGCAUUAAGCACUCCGCCUGGGGAGUACGACCGCAAGGUUGACUCAAAGGAAUUGACGGGGACCCGCACAAGCGGUGGAGCAUGUGGUUUAAUUCGAAGCAACGCGAAGAAUUACCUCUGACAUCCUUUGAAACUCUAGAGAUAGAGCUUCCCCUCGGGGGACAAAGUGACGGGCAUGCAGCUCGCGG
rnacentral:rRNA from 1 species